rnacentral:rRNA from 1 species
CGGCGGACGGGUGAGUAACACGUGGAUAACCUACCUAUAAGACUGGGAUAACUUCGGGAAACCGGAGCUAAUACCGGAUAAUAUAUUGAACCGCAUGGUUCAAUAGUGAAAGACGGUUUUGCUGUCACUUAUAGAUGGAUCCGCGCCGCAUUAGCUAGUUGGUAAGGUAACGGCUUACCAAGGCAACGAUGCGUAGCCGACCUGAGAGGGUGAUCGGCCACACUGGAACUGAGACACGGUCCAGACUCCUACGGGAGGGCAGCAGUC